rnacentral:rRNA from 1 species
UACGGAAGGUGCGAGCGUUGUCCGGAAUCAUUGGGCGUAAAGGGCGCGUAGGUGGCGGGACAAGCGUGCGGUGAAAGCUCGGGGCUCAACCCCGCGUCGGCCGUGCGAACUGUUUUGCUUGAGCACUGUAGAGGCAGGCGGAAUUCCGGGUGUAGCGGUGGAAUGCGUAGAGAUCCGGAAGAACACCGGUGGCGAAGGCGGUCUGCUGGGCAGUAGCUGACACUGAGGCGCGACAGCGUGGGGAGCAAACAGG